AGAGGGCAGAGAAAAGCCCUGGGCUCAGCCAGAGAAGGGCAGAGGACAGAGGACUGAGAGAGGACUGGACAACCAGCUGCAAAGAGGAGCUACCUUCUCUGUGAGAGCUUCAGAGACCUGCAGAGACAUUGAAUGAACUGCCUGCAGAGAGGAGUCACCCUCUCCAAGGUCUUCGCUCUGCUAAGAACAGCAGACAAUGGGGCAACCAGUGGGCAGAGAGGAGCUACCCUCUUCAGAGCCUCCUCUCUGCUGAGAGCUGGACACUUGAUUGGAUGAUCUGCCUACAGAGAGGAGCAACCCACUGUGGAUUUUCUCUGAGCUGUAACACUCAAUAAAGCUCUUCUUUGUCUUGUUCACCUUCCACUUGUCUGCAUAGGCAGGAUUUGGCACCACUGGCAGUGACACUGUAACAUUUUGGGGGCUCAUCUGGGAUCUCCAAAAGGUGAAGAGAACUGACAUGCUGUCCAAUAAACUUCCUUGUCCUCCUUAUGCAAGAAAGGAAAUCCUGACUUAAUGCGUAGCCACAGAACAAGUUAAAAGUGAAAUAUCUACACAAAUUAUUUGGAAUCCUUCUGUAUGAGAAAGGAGAUUUGUCUAUUUUCCCACAUUUAUUCAUUUAUUGACAUCAGUAUAGACUCAUGGAUAUUUGUUUUAUGGUUGGUUUGUAAUCCAAUGCUACAUUAUUUAUUUUGUUGUUCAAGUUGUUCCAGCUUUGGACUGGGAGCUCUUUCGAUUGGCUUCUGUUUUCUACAGCUAAAAUUAGUGAAGAGAUAAUCUUCUGUUAUUUCAUUUAACCUUCAACCCAACCUUAUAAAAAUGUCUUUUUGUUAUUCUUGUUUUACAAAUAAGGGAGCUGAGGUCGAGAGUUUAAUUUAUGCAGCUGUUGAUUGGCAAAGCCAGGAUUCGAAUAAAAACAGUCUUUAACCAGCAUGCUAUGUUACUUUCUGUCAAUGUCUUCAUUCAAAGACCACCAGGAACACACCUGUAGUUAAACAAGUUGUGUUUUUUUUGCAGUGAGGGAAAAUGCAUGUACAUCUCCCCCUUUUCUGUUUUUUGCAUCAGGUUUUGUUGAUUGAAGAGUACAAAUGUGUGCAACAACGGAUUUGUCAAGUGUGGUGGUCACUGCUCGCAUUCUGGCUUUGCAUCCUAGAAUUAGUAAAUAACAUAAGACAAACAUGAGUAUAAUUAGCAACAUUCUUUUUCAAUCAAGGAGUGACCCCUCCCCCAGGAGUGGGGGUCUGUCUAUCCAGGAGAAAUGAUCUCGCACACCCUUCCAUCCUAAUAUAUGAAUCUAUUGUGAGUACACCAUUUCACAUUAAGCUCCAAAUCGCUGUCAGAUUUUUCUUUCAUUUGGACAGAGCUAUUAAUGAGUCACGUAGUUACGCUAUUCUUUAUGGAGGAAAAGAGUGAAUAACCCCUUUUCAGAAUAUCCUGAUGAAGAGAACUUGAAACAACAGAGAAUAUCAGAGAGGAUAUGUCCGGUUCAUUCUUUUAAGCUACAAAUAUUUUAUUCUAUAUCAGGAUAAUCAUGAGCAUUGAACCCUGACUUCCUGGACUCAAAUCCUGGCUUCCCCAAAUACUACUUGUGUGACCUUAACUAAAUUACUUAAUCUGUCUAUGCUGCAGUUUCCUUAUCUGAUUCUGCCACUUACUAGAUGUGUGAUUUUCAGCAAAUCACUCAGUGUCUUGGAACGUUCCUCAUCCUUGGGCGCUCCCCUUCGUCUUUGCAGCGCUUGCUUUCGUUGCCUGGCAACGGGACGCGACACCAGGAUUGAGCGUUAAGUGCGUGCUUUGGACGAGCGCAUUACUGAGGCGGUUUUGACCGUUGGGCCUUGUCAUUUGCUAGACUCACCUGGGUCCCCAGUCAGUGCCCGGCUCCUCCUCCUCCACCUCCUCGGGGCGGCACCUGCGGGGCAGGGGGAGCCCCUUCCACAAACCCGGGUGAAGAAAGAGAGGAUUAAUGAGAAAAACAAAUUAGACGGCAUAGCCUAGAUGCAGAAAGUCUAACUCCAAAAUUCAUGAACCUUCCAAAAUUUACCAUGUUGUCCCUCUUCACUUGGAACUCUAGUGACACACAAAGAUGUAUGUUUUUUCAUUUGUACUUCCUCUGCUAAGAUCUCUAAGUGAGGGGAAAGGACUAAGCCGUUGUCUAUUAUUUGUUUCCGUGUUCUUUCAAAGCUCUAGAAAAUACGUGAGCAUAAUUCAAGUAAAAAUGUUGGAAGCUUAAAAUUUGUGGUCUGUUGGUGUAUUAAAUAUUAAAUAUCAAUGUCAUGUGCUUUCUCCUGAGCCAGACAUACGUUUUCUGAAGGUCUUGGACAAAUAUAAUUUUGAGUAAUGGUUAACAAAAAAAUAACAAUGCUAUGAAUGUGGGUAUUAAUAUCUUCAUUAUUGAGAUAUCUGGACAUUGACAGACUGAGAAACAAGAUUUUCUAGAAAAAAUUUCCAACAAAAAUUUCCAGAGAAAGUUCAAAAAUUUCCAGAGAAAAUCACUCAUAAUCUUGAGAUAAUGAUUGUGUUAGGCUCUAAUAGUGGAAAAAUGGAAUAAAUUUUCCUUACUCUGUCUCACUCCCCUUUCUCUCCACAUCAAUUCUAUACUUGAGAUAACUAUGUCCUUAGAAAUGUGUCACAUAUAAUGGACCUUAUAUUUUGUUGGAAAGAAUUUUAGUCAGUAUUGUAAAAAUAUCA